rnacentral:ncRNA from 1 species
UAAAUGUGGAUAGAUUUGACUGCUUGCAACCACACGAAAAAAAUGCUAAAACG